rnacentral:rRNA from 1 species
CCUUACACAUGACAAGUACGAACGGUAACGAGGUCGUUCGGAUGCUGGACGAGUGGCGGAACGGGUGAGUAAUACAGUACGGAACGUCGCCGAUCGGUAGGGGACGUAACGAAGACGAAAGUCUUUGACUAACUACCGCAUACGAUCGUACGGAUAGAAAGCGAGGGACGCAAGGCCUUGCGCGAACGGAGCGGCCGAUGGCAGAUUAGGUAGUUGGUGGGAUAAAAGCUUACCAAGCCGACGAUCUGUAGCUGGUCUGAGAGGACGACCAGCCACACUGGGACUGAGACACGGCCCAGACUCCUACGGGAGGCAGCAGUGGGGAAUUUUGGACAAUGGGCGAAAGCCUGAUCCAGCCAUGCCGCGUGCAGGAUGAAGGCCUUCGGGUUGUAAACUGCUUUUGUACGGAACGAAAAGACUCUGGUUAAUACCUGGGGCCCAUGACGGUACCGUAAGAAUAAGCACCGGCUAACUACGUG